ACAAUAUGCAAAUGAAGGUGACUUCUAAAGAAGUGAGUGAGUGUCAGUGAGAGACAGAAGAGCUCCAUCAGCUCAGCUUCAACAUCAACCAUGUUCUCUGGAGCUCUGAUACUGCUGCUGGCAGCUGGAUCCUGUGUGAACAGUAUUGAUCUCAUCCAGCCAGAUUCAAUGGUUGUGCAGCCUGGACAGUCUUUGACCAUCACCUGUCAGGUCUCUGGUUAUUCUCUGACUGAUAACAGCUAUGCAACCGGUUGGAUCAGACAGUGUGAAGGAAAACCAAUGGACUGGAUUAUACAUCGGUGGGGUGGAGGAGACUUUUCUCAAAACAAUGCUCUGAAGAACAAGUUCCUUUACCACACUCACACUUCUACCAGCUCGGUGACAUUAACAGGACAGAACGUGCAGCCUGAGGACACAGCUGUGUAUUACUGUGUACGUGUUGCUCCACAGUGAUACAAACCACCAACAGACCUGCACAAAUACUCAGCAACCAGCCAGACUCAACCACACACACACUAGAUGUGAACAUUAAUAAAGACACUCUCUGAUGAGCUGAUAAACAUUAAUGUUUAAGUCUCAUUUGACUUCCACUGCAGCCGACAUCAGUGUAGAAGAGACUCAGAGAAGCUUGAUUUC